rnacentral:rRNA from 1 species
CAACAAUAUUAAUUGAUGAGUUAAAAGCUCGUAGUUGGAUUUUGGUUAAGAGGGCGCGGUCGGCCGUUUGGUCUGUACUGCGUUGUCUUGACUUCCUGAUGAGGACAUGCUCUUGGUUAACGCUGAGACAUGGAGUCAUCGUGGUUACUUUGAAAAAAUUAGAGUGUUCAAAGCGGGCUUACGCUUGAAUAUAUUAGCAUGGAAUAACACUAUAGGACUCCUGUCCUAUCUCGUUGGUCUCGGGAUGGGAGUAAUGAUUAAGAGGAACAGUUGGGGGCAUUCGUAUUUCAUUGUCAGAGGUGAAAUUCUUGGAUUUAUGAAAGACGAACUUCUGCGAAAGCAUUUGCCAAGGAUGUUUUCAUUAAUCAAGAACGAAAGUUGGGGGCUCGAAGAUGAUUAGAUACCAUCCUAGUCUCAACCAUAAACGAUGCCGACUAGGGAUUGGUGGAUGUUAAUUGAUGACUUCACCAGCACCUUAUGAGAAAUCAAAGUUUUUGGGUUCCGGGGGGAGUAUGGUCGCAAGGCUGAACAGGGGGAAAAUUGAACGG